GAUGAACGCUGGCGGCGUGCCUAAUACAUGCAAGUCGAGCGAACAGAUGAGGAGCUUGCUCCUCUGACGUUAGCGGCGGACGGGUGAGUAACACGUGGAUAACCUACCUAUAAGACUGGGAUAACUUCGGGAAACCGGAGCUAAUACCGGAUAAUAUAUUGAACCGCAUGGUUCAAUAGUGAAAGACGGUUUUGCUGUCACUUAUAGAUGGAUCCGCGCCGCAUUAGCUAGUUGGUAAGGUAACGGCUUACCAAGGCAACGAUGCGUAGCCGACCUGAGAGGGUGAUCGGCCACACUGGAACUGAGACACGGUCCAGACUCCUACGGGAGGCAGCAGUAGGGAAUCUUCCGCAAUGGGCGAAAGUCUGACGGAGCAACGCCGCGUGAGUGAUGAAGGUCUUCGGAUCGUAAAACUCUGUUAUUAGGGAAGAACAAAUGUGUAAGUAACUAUGCACGUCUUGACGGUACCUAAUCAGAAAGCCACGGCUAACUACGUG
rnacentral:rRNA from 1 species